CAGCCGCCACGGUAAAACGUAGGGUGCAAGCGUUAAUCGGAAUUACUGGGCGUAAAGCGUGCGCAGGCGGUUUUGUAAGACAGAGGUGAAAUCCCCGGGCUCAACCUGGGAACUGCCUUUGUGACUGCAAGGCUAGAGUACGGCAGAGGGGGAUGGAAUUCCGCGUGUAGCAGUGAAAUGCGUAGAUAUGCGGAGGAACACCGAUGGCGAAGGCAAUCCCCUGGGCCUGUACUGACGCUCAUGCACGAAAGCGUGGGGAGCAAACAGGAUUAGAUACCCGCGUAGUCCCUGUCUCUUAUAC
rnacentral:rRNA from 1 species